rnacentral:rRNA from 1 species
UACGGGGGGGGCAAGCGUUGUUCGGAAUUACUGGGCGUAAAGGGCUCGUAGGUGGCCAACUAAGUCAGACGUGAAGUCCCUCGGCUUAACCGGGGAACUGCGUCUGAUACUGGAUGGCUUGAGUUCGGGAGAGGGAUGCGGAAUUCCUGGUGUAGCGGUGAAAUGCGUAGAGAUCAGGAGGAACACCCGUGGCGAAGGCGGCCCUCUGGCUCGACCCUGACGCUGAGGCGCGAAAGCGUGGGGAGCGAACGGG